rnacentral:rRNA from 1 species
GUACGGAGGGUGCAAGCGUUAUCCGGAUUUAUUGGGUUUAAAGGGUCCGUAGGCGGACUAGUAAGUCAGUGGUGAAAGCCUUCAGCUUAACUGGAGAACUGCCAUUGAUACUGCUAGUCUUGAGUUCGGUUGAAGUGGGCGGAAUAUGUGGUGUAGCGGUGAAAUGCAUAGAUAUCACAUAGAACACCUAUUGCGAAGGCAGCUCACUAAGCCGAUACUGACGCUCAGGGACGAAAGCGUGGGGAGCGAACAGGAUUAGAUACCCUAGUAGUCC